UGCUCGUGCCGUGUCCUCGUCCAUGCUGCCGGCGGCAGCGAUGCAGUCUGGCGUCGGUGCCGGCGGAGUUUCCUUCUAGGCUGCAGGUGGGCGGCCGCCUUCCUAGCUCCAGCCGUCGCGGCCCUCGUCAACCGCUGAAUCCAGUGGUCGGGAGUCACGGGAGAGAUGGUGAGCACACAGCUUGAGAAUGGAUGUUCUGGUGCGUGGUGUUGAGGGCGAUGACUACUUGGACCUGUUGACAGAGGCGUUCUGAUGCUUUCCUCUGUUUUUUCUUGUGCUACAUCUGAGGUUCAGUUGCUUUCCUCUCCAUUUCUGGUGACUUGGUUCUUUGAUGAAUAUCCCUGACGUGAGUUGUUAUAGACUAUCUCCAAUAUAGCAAUAGCAGGAUUGUGGUGCUUCAUGCUUUAAUUACUAGCAAAUCGAUGAACCUAUUUAUAUUUGUUUCCCAGCUGCACCAGCAAGUCGAUGAACCUAUUUAUAUACUAGCAAAUGGUACAUCGUUCGCAUGUGAGAAUUUACUCAAUUUGCUAACUGAUGAUAUGCUCCAUGCUCAGCUUCUAGGAUACAUGAUCCUUAGUUAUUAAAGAAAACUUAUUACAAUGACAAAAGCAGCAGAAAUUUUUACGUACGGGAAGCCGCAUCUUGCUGACUAAAAGUAGCAUGCGGCUGCACUGCUCAGGGAGACCAUUUGGCAGAGGCACAAUGCAAGGAUUGUUCUGGAAUAUACUGGAAAAGGCAUCGAUUACUGUAGACUGUAGAAGUAUAGAGAUUUAUAUACACGAAACAAAAGGAUUGUUUGUAGUACGUCUUAAUCAGGCGGACGUAGCGUCAAUGUGGAUUGCUCUGUAGAUUACACAAGCUAGCAUCUAGGAUCAAAAGAAGACCAUCAUAGAUAUUUUUCGGUCAUUUUUAAUGCCUACUUUAAGUAUUGUGUUUCCUUCGAUAUUUUUUCAAAUUAUGAUAUUGCUUACAGAAUGACACAAUGAUGAAUUCAACACAAGAUCCUGCUGGUAGGAGAUCGAGUACAAUACAA
rnacentral:lncRNA from 1 species